rnacentral:rRNA from 1 species
CUACGGGGUGCUGCAGUGGGGAAUAUUGCACAAUGGGCGCAAGCCUGAUGCAGCAACGCCGCGUGAGGGAUGAAGGCCUUCGGGUUGUAAACCUCUUUUAGCAGGGAAGAAGCGAAAGUGACGGUACCUGCAGAAAAAGCACCGGCUAACUACGUGCCAGCAGCCGCGGUAAUACGUAGGGUGCAAGCGUUGUCCGGAAUUAUUGGGCGUAAAGAGCUCGUAGGCGGUUUGUCACGUCUGCUGUGAAAAUCCAAGGCUCAACCUUGGACUUGCAGUGGGUACGGGCAGGCUAGAGUGCGGUAGGGGGGAUGGGAAUUCCUGGUGUAGCGGUGGAAUGCGCAGAUAUCAGGAGGAACACCAAUGGCGAAGGCACAUCUCUGGGCCGUAACUGACGCUGGGGAGCGAAAGCGUGGGGAGCGAACAGGAUUAGAUACCCGUGUAGUC